rnacentral:ncRNA from 1 species
CGGCCGGGACGACCCGGCCCACGCAAGGGGCCUUUUCGACCGGGACGGCCCGG